AUUGAACGCUGGCGGCAUGCCUUACACAUGCAAGUCGAACGGCAGCACGGGUGCUUGCACCUGGUGGCGAGUGGCGAACGGGUGAGUAAUACAUCGGAACGUACCUUAUCGUGGGGGAUAACGCAGCGGAAGCUGUGCUAAUACCGCAUACGCCCUGAGGGGGAAAGCGGGGGAUCGAAAGACCUCGCGCGAUUAGAGCGGCCGAUGCCUGAUUAGCUUGUUGGUGGGGUAAAAGCCCACCAAGGCGACGAUCAGUAGCUGGUCUGAGAGGACGAUCAGCCACACUGGGACUGCGACACGGCCCAGACUCCUACGGGAGGCAGCAGUGGGGAAUUUUGGACAAUGGGGGCAACCCUGAUCCAGCAAUGCCGCGUAAGUGAAGAAGGCCUUCGGGUUGUAAAGCUCUUUUGUCAGGGAAGAAACACCGGCUCUAACACAGUCCGGGAAUGACGGUACCUGAAGAAUAAGCACCGGCUAACUACGUGCCAGCCGCCGCGGUAA
rnacentral:rRNA from 1 species